CCUACGGGUGGCAGCAGUGAGGAAUAUUGGUCAAUGGGCGGAAGCCUGAACCAGCCAAGUAGCGUGCAGGAUGACGGCCCUACGGGUUGUAAACUGCUUUUAUACGGGAAUAACGCGCCUUACGUGUAGAGCUUUGCAUGUACCGUAUGAAUCAGGACCGGCUAAUUCCGUGCCAGCAGCCGCGGUAAUACGGAGGGUCCGGGCGUUAUCCGGAUUUAUUGGGGUUAAAGGGAGCGUAGGCCGCAUGUCAAGCGUGCUGUGAAAUGUCCGGGCUCAACCCGGUGCUUGCUGCGCGAACUGGCGUGCUGGAGUGCGGGGAAAGCAGGCGGAAUUCGUCGUGUAGCGGUGAAAUGCUUAGAUAUGACGAAGAACCCCGAUUGCGAAGGCAGCUUGCUGCAGCGGAACUGACGCUGAUGCUCGAAAGCGCGGGGAUCGAACAGGAUUAGAUACCCCGGUAGUC
rnacentral:rRNA from 1 species